GACGAACGCUGGCGGCGUGCCUAAUACAUGCAAGUCGAGCGGACCACUUCGGUGGUCAGCGGCGGACGGGUGAGUAACACGUGGGCAACCUGCCUGUAAGACUGGAAUAACACCGGGAAACCGGUGCUAAUACCGGAUAAUCCUUUCCUUCACAUGGAGGGAAGCUGAAAGACGGUUUCGGCUGUCACUUACAGAUGGGCCCGCGGCGCAUUAGCUAGUUGGUGAGGUAACGGCUCACCAAGGCAACGAUGCGUAGCCGACCUGAGAGGGUGAUCGGCCACACUGGGACUGAGACACGGCCCAGACUCCUACGGGAGGCAGCAGUAGGGAAUCUUCCGCAAUGGACGAAAGUCUGACGGAGCAACGCCGCGUGAGCGAUGAAGGCCUUCGGGUCGUAAAGCUCUGUUGUCAGGGAAGAACAAGUACCGGAGUAACUGCCGGCACCUUGACGGUACCUGACCAGAAAGCCACGGCUAACUACGUGCCAGCCGCCGCGGUAAAAC
rnacentral:rRNA from 1 species